rnacentral:rRNA from 1 species
UAUUGCGCAAUGGAGGAAACUCUGACGCAGUGACGCCGCGUAUAGGAAGAAGGUUUUCGGAUUGUAAACUAUCGUCGUUAGGGAAGAANNAAGACAGUACCUAAGGAGGAAGCUCCGGCUAACUACGUGCCAGCAGCCGCGGUAAUACGUAGGGAGCAAGCGUUAUCCGGAAUUAUUGGGUGUAAAGGGUGCGUAGACGGGAAUAUAAGUUAGUUGUGAAAUCCCUCGGCUCAACUGAGGAACUGCAACUAAAACUAUAUUUCUUGAGUGCAGGAGAGGAAAGUGGAAUUCCUAGUGUAGCGGUGAAAUGCGUAGAUAUUAGGAGGAACACCAGUGGCGAAGGCGACUUUCUGGACUGUAACUGACGUUGAGGCACGAAAGUGUGGGGAGCAAACAGGA